rnacentral:tRNA from 1 species
GGGCGCAUAGCUCAGAUGGUAGAGCAGCUGACUCUUAAUCAGCGGGUCCUAGGUUCGAGUCCUAGUGCGCCCACCA